GCAAGUAAUAAACAAACUGAUGGCAAGGGAGAAUAAGGAGACCGGGGAAGUUCCAACAGGGGCGACCUGCGACCACACGAGCUGAAGUCCUUCAUCGAAACCUCGUCCCUCGAUUGCUGCAAUCGGACGGUGCCCGUGUGUUCUCAGGUCGCCCCUGCCGGGCCUUCCACCGCCGUGGCAUGCUCCGUUGCCUCCCACGAUCAGGAGAGAAGGUAGUUUUCAUGGUCAUUAUCGGCCGCUGCCUCCAUCGUCUUCUCCUUCAUCCUCCUCUGCCCCCGUGGCCCCAUGGAGACCCUCGAUUGUUUCUGCCAUCCCCACCUGAUCACCCGCAUCCUUGGCCACGACGCCUUCGGCAUCGACCGCCUCCUCAUCGUCGAGUUACUCGAGCGCGGCUUCCUCGACCAUUGGGUCCACGAGUCCAACUUGAUCUUGGUCGACUUAGUAUCCUUCGCGCUCUCAUGGCCGACGCGGGUGUCCAGAUCGUCGGCGAGGUCGCCAUCAGCCUCGCCUUCCUCCGCAAGUAGUGUUGGUCGUGGAUCAUCCACGGGGACAUCUUGAUACUUCGGAGCUUCGAUCGCAGAAUUUGGUCUGGUACGGGUGGUGGAUGUGGCGCUGACAAGCAGGUGGUGGGGAUGAUGGGAUAUGUGCCGCUGGAGUAGGAGGGUUUGAUAAAAGAACAAAUUGUAACCAGUUGGAAACUGAUGGAAGUAAAUUUCCUUCGAUACCCAUUAACAAUCAAUGGCCAACAUCGAUCUCUAUUUUUGGUAAAAACAUUAUAAUGGAGCAGCGUAGCAAUUCCCAACAUUAAUAUUGAGCCUGUCUAUCCUAGCAUAUAAUCCUAAAGUUCUGCAUCUCCAUGUUCGUUUGGAUCCUCUCUGUUUCACAGUUGAACGAGCGAGCUCCACUUCAACUGUAGGUGACUGAAUGGUAUAUAUCUUGUGUUAUUUUGGUCCUG